rnacentral:rRNA from 1 species
GAUCAUGGCUCAGGAUGAACGCUAGCUACAGGCUUAACACAUGCAAGUCGGAGGGGCAGCAUUUUAGUUUGCUUGCAAACUAAAGAUGGCGACCGGCGCACGGGUGAGUAACACGUAUCCAACCUGCCGAUAACUCGGGGAUAGCCUUUCGAAAGAAAGAUUAAUAUCCGAUAGUAUAUUUUCUCCGCAUGGUGAGAAUAUUAAAGAAUUUCGGUUAUCGAUGGGGAUGCGUUCCAUUAGUUUGUUGGG